rnacentral:rRNA from 1 species
UGUCUAGUAUAAGCAAUCUAUACAGUGAAACUGCGAAUGGCUCAUUAAAUCAGUUAUCGUUUAUUUGAUAGUACCUUACUACUUGGAUAACCGUGGUAAUUCUAGAGCUAAUACAUGCUAAAAACCUCGACUUCGGAAGGGGUGUAUUUAUUAGAUAAAAAACCAAUGCCCUUCGGGGCUCCUUGGUGAUUCAUGAUAACUUAACGAAUCGCAUGGCCUUGUGCCGGCGAUGGUUCAUUCAAAUUUCUGCCCUAUCAACUUUCGAUGGUAGGAUAGUGGCCUACCAUGGUUUCAACGGGUAACGGGGAAUUAGGGUUCUAUUCCGGAGAGGGAGCCUGAGAAACGGCUACCACAUCCAAGGAAGGCAGCAGGCGCGCAAAUUACCCAAUCCCGACACGGGGAGGUAGUGACAAUAAAUACUGAUACAGGGCUCUUUUGGGUCUUGUAAUUGGAAUGAGUACAAUUUAAAUCCCUUAACGAGGAACAAUUGGAGGGCAAGUCUGGUGCCAGCAGCCGCGGUAAUUCCAGCUCCAAUAGCGUAUAUUAAAGUUGUUGCAGUUAAAAAGCUCGUAGUUGAACCUUGGGCCUGGUUGGUCGGUCCGCCUCGCGGCGUGCACUGAUCCGACCGGGCCUUUCCUUCUGGGGAACCGCAUGCCCUUCAUUGGGUGUGUUGGGGAUCCAGGACUUUUACUUUGAAAAAAUUAGAGUGUUCAAAGCAGGCAUAUGCUCGAAUACAUUAGCAUGGAAUAAUAGAAUAGGACGUGUGGUUCUAUUUUGUUGGUUUCUAGGACCGCCGUAAUGAUUAAUAGGGAUAGUCGGGGGCAUCAGUAUUCCGUUGUCAGAGGUGAAAUUCUUGGAUUUACGGAAGACUAACUACUGCGAAAGCAUUUGCCAAGGAUGUUUUCAUUAAUCAGUGAACGAAAGUUAGGGGAUCGAAGACGAUCAGAUACCGUCGUAGUCUUAACCAUAAACUAUGCCGACUAGGGAUCGGGCGAUGUU